UACGUAGGGGGCAAGCGUUGUCCGGAUUUAUUGGGCGUAAAGAGCGUGUAGGCGGCUAGAUAGGUCCGUUGUGAAAACUCGAGGCUCAACCUCGAGACGCGGUGUGAAACCAUCAGGCUAGAGUCCGGAAGAGGAGAGUGGAAUUCCUGGUGUAGCGGUGAAAUGCGCAGAUAUCAGGAAGAACACCCGUGGCUAAGGCGGCUCUCUGGGACGGUACUGACGCUGAGACGCGAAAGCGUGGGGAGCGAACAGG
rnacentral:rRNA from 1 species